ensembl:lncRNA
CGCAGCAGCUGUCUUCCUGUUAUUUUCACCUCUUUAAAGCCUCCCACCUCCUCUCUCUCAGACACUCAUUUGAACUCCACUUAAUUCACAAGUUUAAAAGGAAAAAAAAAAAAAAAAAGAGGGCUCAGAUUGAUGCUAUAAAUAAUUCACAGACAGUUUUAUCCACCACGGGUGGAAAUCAGGGAGGCUGAAUCUCUAGCCUCCAUAUGUUGAAUCAAAGUCAUCCAUUAGGAGAGGGUGAAAUCGUACUUCUGGUGUUGCAGGGAACUGGUGUGACAAAACCAGCUUUCCCUUCACUGGAGAAUGCAGAGAAUUCUGCCUGGGGCUAGAAACUCUACCAUGGAGCAACUUCACUUGGAGGCGUGACUAGACCUAGGGCAAUGCUUAUUGACUAAGGCUGGAUCCAAUUUGCAACGUCCUAAGACAAUUAUUGGAUCCCAGGCUCUGCUGUCCAGCCCCACUGCCCCUAUUGUGCAGUGCAAUAGGAUGGCACUUGAUGGGUGGCACGCAGCCCACCAGAGCUGGGCUCAGGGAGGGCCAGUGAAAAACUGCAGGGAGAGCCCACUGAAAUGGACAGGUCCGCCAACAUAGCUAAGGAUUUCUGGCAAAAGCAAAGACAGCUCUUGUAUGGGAACUGUUGAAUCAUGGCCUGAACCUCUGAUUGACCACCUGAGGCGAGCACUGACUCAGCCAUGGGAUCACAGGUGAAGGCAAUUCAGCUGUGUGGCCGGAAGGGGUGGAGCCAGGCUGCACCUCUCCUAGACCCCAUUUAAGAGCUGACUGCCACUGGAGAAAGAUCUCUUCCUGGAGAUUGCUCCUUGUGGAGUUUCUGUGAGCCUACAACACCGGGGGCUGGCUGGUUUACAGAUGGAUGAACUCAUUGAGAACCCUAGCACCUGAGCCCUGAGUUCAAUUUAAUAUUGUAGCCUACAGCACUUUGCCGCUACUGCAUGCAACCUCAUGACAAGAAUUACUGAAGGAAGGUCUCUGCAAUGAAGGAGCCAAACGUCUUCUGUUCCUUGCAGUAGAAAUGGCAAACAUCCAUGAGCAGAGAUGGCCGGGGUCUCCAGCCCUGGCUGGCUGUUACAAUGAGCAGCAUCCAGGGAAAGAAGUUUUCUGCUGACCUGUGAUCAAGGGAAAUGAAAGAUGAGAGAAGAUAAAUCAAAUCUGCUUCUUGUCUAUUCUUGUCUAUCCAACUCUUGCUCCACAUGCAAUGAUAAACUUUCAGGCCAAAUAAAGGAAAAUCUGAAGCAAGCCUAAGGAAGACCAAGGAAGUGCCUGAGGAAGAUCUCCCUUUGGCAACAGGUCUCAUGGUCUGAGAAAAAGACAGCAGACAAAAAUGCAUUUUUUUGGUAACUGCGAAGAAAGGCAGAGAGUUUUCGAACAGCACAGCAUGAGUUAACCCUCUUAUCACCUGCUGCCAAAUGCGCUCAUGCAUCUUUAGUACAAUGCCAAGCAGAUGCAUUCAGAUUCUUUAUAAGACUGAGGUACCAAACCUGUACUUCACACUGUGAGUGAGCAACAACACAUUGUUGCAUGGAGCAAUAACACAUUACUGCAGGCGGGAUUUGGUGAGAAUCUGUGUAAGAUUGCUUUUGCAGAGGCCACUUGCACAAAAGCCUCUGCUGCAGCAACAUUGUCUUCCAUCUUGAUCUUCUAGAAAUAAAAAAAAAGAAAGGUUUACAAAAUUACUGUGUCUUGCCUGUGAAAGAUGAAUCAUAGUGCUUUUCAAUAGAGCUGCAGGUUGUCAGGGGACCCUCGUCAAGGUUAUUGUUUUGAGCACCUGCAAAAAACACAUUUUUUUAAGGCUUUCUACCACUUAGAAAAGAAAUGAGAAAGGAGAUGAGAACAGACAGAUGAAAACUCGACUUAGCUGACUGCAAGCUUCUGUCACCCGGGGAAAUGUGAAGCAAAUUACACAGCACAAUCCAAACAAUAUGAAAUCGGUUUAAACAGAUUUUUUUUUUUUUUUUUUUUGCUAAAUAUCUGCCUUCCAAGCCCAUUCCUCCCAAAUCCCCCAAAGCUGGCUUUAUCCAUGCUUUGACUUCAAUAUGUACAGCUUAUGGCAGAAGGUUUUACACCCUGGAAUUUGAGAUGCACCGGAGCGCAGGAGACUCCAUCUCCAGCAGGCAGACACCACAUCACAGACUAAUUUAAACCAUCGUCUGCAUUCACACUGGAAAAGGCAUUUGCUUUCUUAGCUGAUUGCCUGUUCUGGGGUCUAUUCUAAUGUCCAAAUUUACUGCCAUGAAAGUAGAGAUUAAUUUAUUCCAAAAAUCAAAUUAUUCACAAGCACUGAAUUUCAAUGCAUCACAGGUGGUACAUACAUGGGUGAUCUAAUUCCACUGAUUGGCCACUAAGAUCAGUAAGCAUGAACAUAGCACAGGUCUUCAGUAUUAACACUCAGGAAUGGUUCUGCCAUGGCGUGUCAACAGCAGUCCACGUAGCUGGGAACUCUCACAUGGCAUUCUAUAGGAAUAAGGAAAGCAGAACAAAUAAGGGAGAGAACUUGGGCAUAAGUAUUCCUCAUCUCACCACGGACACUGAUGCUGCUGGAAAACUUUUUGUGAUGCUCACCCCUAUGACACACUCAUACCAUGCACACACACAGCUAAACUGUGGGGAGAGAUGCAAGUAGCCUAAUGGCAGAAGGGCUGGUUACCGAACUGGUGCUACACAGAGGGGCAGUUCCUUGCUAUUUACACAGCUAUCCUCUCCAGUUCCUGCUUGGGUGCUUCAUGAAGUAGGUCAACAGGCUGCAUUAAUUCAGAGACCAUCAGUCUUCAUAUAUGCCACUACAGCCCCCAGAAACUACUGCCAGAUUUAUACAGGUUUGUUUUGUUGCCAUACUUCAAGCACAGCAGAGCUGCACCAAUGGAAAUACAUCCUCUUGCUGAUGUGAUUUAUUUAUUACAGGGGGCCCGCAGGAAAGCAGGAGAGGGACUUUUUAUAAGGGCAGGUAGUGACAGGAUUAGGGGAAAUGGCUUUCAAGUGGAAGAGGGUAGAUUUAGACUAGAUAUCAAGAUGGAAUUAUUUACCGUGAGAGUGAUGAGACACUGGAACAGGUGGUCCAGAGAGGCUGUGGAUGCUCCCACCCUGUAAGCAUUCAAGGCCAGGCUGGAUGGGGCUUUGUGCAACCUGGUGUAGAGGGAGGUGUCCCUGCCUGUAGCAGGGGAUUGGAACCAGAUGAUCUUAAACAUCCCUUUCAACCCAAACCAUUCUAUGAUUCUAUAAUUUAUAAUGGGAAGGCUACAUAUAAUUGACUUAAAUUCCUCCACCAGAAACUGCACAUUUUCUCCAGAAUGAGCAAUUACUCAAGACCAAGGUCAGUAUUUUUGCAUGUAUUUACAGGCGUUAAGAGCCACCAAGUGUGAUGUAUAAACACAAUAAACAAUACUAUGCUACGCUAUAUACUAUAGUGCAGAGCAAAUCCCUGCAGGUGAGAGAUGCUCAUUAAAAUGUGAUUAAUAAGCAAUGGCUGUGCACCGAAGGGCAGAGGAGCUGAUUAACAGAAGACACAGGGUACAGAGGCUUCCAGGUGAAAUUUCAAGGAAAUGGAUUCCAGCCAAGCAAUGUACUUACAAACAUGAUACUCAUGGAAUGAAUGAGACCACCACUACCCUCAGCUGUGGUUAUCAGGCCAGAAAGCACCCUUGUUCCCCAGCAAUGAGCAGCACAAAUCCCAUUGUGCUGGUAGGAGUGUCAGGCUCACCGCUGCUGGCUGGUGUGGAGUCAGCUGGAGGACACAAGCCAGCUCUGCCGUGGUUUAUAUGGCAAUCCAUCUUCUUUCAGUCUUCUCUGGAGGCACAGUUCAGAAGAUCACAGUGGUCAGAUUUGCCUGGCACAACUGCCUUUCUGCGCUGGAAGACUUUAUACAGCCACAAGUCCUCCUGGGGUUUCGUCGCUUCCCAUUCCAUGACCAUACCUGCGUUGACAUCUAAUCUCACUGUACCACCCUUCACCUUUCAGAGCUGUAGCUAGCUAUGAAAACGCUACAUCAGCAAACCCAGCUUGUGAACUAGAUUGUAAGAAGCUGGGAAAGAAACAGCAAUUUUAAGAAAAGCUCUGACCUUCCCAAACUGUGCAAUCCACAUGGAGGGUGGGGAAAGGUGAAAUUCUGCAAACAAACUCCUGUCAUCGCUUCAGCUUACUAGCGUCAUAUUUGUUAAAUGCUAGCAGAACAAACCACAUUUUUCCACAUCAAGUGAAAGUAACAAAGGAAAAUGUUUAUCAGUCUCACAUAAUGUCAGAGCAGUGGUAUUUACGAGUAUGGAUUUGAGUGAAAUAAACGCUCCUUGUUUAUCACCAAUGGCUGCAAUUAUGCUGUCAAGUGAUAGAUGAGUGUUUUGAUUUCCUCUUCCUGCUGUCUUUUUACCUUCAACUUAUAUUGUAUGCUUGCCACUGUUUAUUCAUGUACUGUUACAGAACCACUGAGAGGGGUUAUUAAUCAAGAGUAUUUAUUUUUCAAAGCAGUCACGCCAUGCCGUCAUGGAUACAGCUGAUGCUUAUCCCUCCUCCCCCAGCAAGCAACAGUGGACAUGAGGCUCAGAGCUAAAUCAACAGUCCUUUCAGUCACAAAUGGAUACAGAUAACAGGCUAAGGAUGAAAUAAAUUGCCUGCAAUCUGCCUUUGUCCCCAAGUCUGGGCACAACUGAAUCCCCAGGGAGCAUACUGGUGUAUAGGAUUGUUUUGCCAGGAUAUCUAAGAACUGCUGCACAGUAGGCUUCCUGCUGAGAUGGCAAGAAAGUAGAGCAGUCAAUAGAUCUACUCACAAUCACGGUCUUUUUCCUGGUAACAUGUUCUGCUCCUUCUUUAAUAGUCUACAGGUAAUACGGACAAAGAGUCUUUAUUUUACCAUUCUGUAACUGCCUGAGUACAUUUCCUGGCAGCAGAGAACUUUAAAUCUUUGGAAAAGUAACAGUAUGCACAGGCAUCCACUUGCAACAGAGCCUUUGGUUUGCCUUUUGAGCAAAAGAAACCUAUUCCUUAGCAUAAGAGACGGGAGGACUAAUGGCAAAUAGGGAGAAACAGAAACAGCAACUGAAGCAGGUUGCCAACAUUCUCCUCAUGUUGAAGUCUCAUUUGAAUUCACAUUUAUUUUUCUAAAUCUAUGGUACCCUUUAAGCUCACAUUUGAUCCUUGGUGUUUACCAAGGCAAGCACUGAAAGCUCAUUCAAAAUAUAAGGAAGUACUGGAGAGAAUCUCACAGUCCUGGAACCUUUGGCUGAGGAACUAAGUAGGAGAACGUAUAUUUCUGUGUCAUGAUCUCAUCACUGACAGUCCAGGGUAAAGUCCAAGUAAAAACAAACCAACAAACAAAACGUAAGUACAAACCAACUGAAUGACACCCUGGAGACUUAUUAAGCAGCUCCCAGGAGUAGCUCCAGGGCUUUGACUCCCGCCCCAGGCAAGCAGCUCCCUACCACCUCCCUCCUCCCCUUUUUAGCAGCAGUGCAAGCCCAGCCCAACAGCGUCCUGCACGAUACUCACAGCUCUCCUGUACUUGCUAUGCUGUUUCCAUACAGGCAUGAAGUGAUCUCCUCAUGCAGAGUUUGUGUGCACCAGAAUUAUUUUGUUAACCAGAGCAGGACACAAACUAGGCAGUUGGAAAGCUCCUGAUCUACACAUGUUUGACAGCAAGUAUUGAAAUGCUGCAACUUCUAAACUCUGCUGCAUUAUCAGGAAAUGGAAGAUCAAAGAUCUCUUCAGGAAAUAACAACUAUCCUGUACGUGUGACAGACUGCACUCACUGCUAGCAUUGCAGCCAAAACAUUGCAUACUGCUGCUUGUUUGCUACACUGUAUGGGUUAUUGCAUCACAUGUGCUGUGAGAUGCCUGUACUUGCAGAGCCACUGUUACUGAAGGGGCAGCAGAAGGGGAAUGCUGUUAUUGUGUAUGCUGAUUAAAUCAGAUAUUUGAUUUUAAAUUUGGCUGAAUCCAACUAAGAGAGUAUUGCCAGGAUGUAGACAUUUACCUGAUCACAUUUUCAUACCUCGGUCUCCAAUGAUCUCUCUCAGACUACUUCAAUGCUGUAGCUAUAUAAAGCCUCUUUUAAGAUAGCAUGGGAUUUCUUCAAGCUAUUACAAAAAAUUCAAAAUAACCUCAGGGACUGGCAGAGAUUUCAUAAAGACAAGAACAUCCCUUUUAUAUUGGUAUCAGUAAGGAUUUUUUUAAGGUAUGUGACAUCUUGCGAUGAAGCUGCAAAGAUGAACAGACAGCACUACUAAAAUAUUAAUAGUAGCUCAAGAGAUGUACAUUCUUUAACUACUGUAGGGCUUGUAAAUAAACGUUCAGAUGGCACCCUGACAGUUACACAGACACCUGCUUCUGUACAUGAGAGGAUUUACAGCGUCCAGAAGACCAGACUUAUAAACAGAAAAUCACAUGAAGAAUAAAAGGAGUGUACAGAAGCCCACUAUUAAAAGGUAGAGUAGGAGAAAAAUAAUCAUUAGCAUAAAGAGAAAUCCUUCACAUUCGACCUGUUUUAUGAAGGCUCUCCCGUAACACCACAAGAAUCCAAGGCAGAGACAACUGUAGAUGCAGUGAUGUGACUCCAGAGAACAUGCAAGGGAGCCUCUGUGAAGAAGCUAUCAGUGAAAGUGGCCAACAGGUGGCCACUGCAGUCUUAGUGAUUCUUUGUUACUGAGCGUUUCCCACCUGAACAGCUCCUUACCAUACACACUGUAGGCGCUCUCUGAAGAGACAGACAAUGGUUGACAUGAUCCCUCCUCUAUGAAACUUGAUGGGUAUCUGCUAAUUCAACUCAGAACAACAUUAAAGCGAAAGGAAAUUGCUCUGAUGAAAAGAAGGAAAUAAAACAAGCCCAGGUUGCUACAGAUCAAUAUAUUUUCCCUUUUUAUUCUGAACUAUUCUUUACUAAGUUGGAUUUGCAUCCGAUUUAUUCACCCCCUCAGAUGCUAAAGCACAUCGGAAAGGUUUUUUUUGACUGAUCAGAGUUGGCCAGAUUAGUUUCCACAGAGGACAAAACCAGUUUGGUAGUAUUCAGAAGAUCAAACUAAGGCCAUCUCCAAUUGUUUCCAGAAAUGUGACAGUUUUCACAGUCUGUGGCACAGGACAAAAGAUCACUGAAGACAAACAGGUGAUAAGCUUUGCAGCCUGUCACCUGCUGAAUUAUCAAUAGUCUUAAGUUUUUACCUGACCAAAACAGCACUAUAUGAAAUGUCCGGGUCAGUUGGUCGGAUUGCAAUUCAUUGGUUUACUUUUAUACAGCAUUGCAAAGUUGAUGAAAAUAACAAAAUUCUGCGUUUUCAAAGGUGUCAAAAACAUUAUGCAUAUGUGACCGAUGGAUCUGUGAACUGGAACAUGUCCUGGUCAUACAAGUCUUCUGGUAGUUUUUCAUCUCCAUCAGCAAAAAACGUGGGGAAAGGAGGGUUUUUAUUGCAGUCUUUGUAAACACGCAGCUUUGUAUCUCUGACCUAAAAGCAAGAGAGGAAAAGGAAGGUUAAUACAUCUUACAGAAGACUUUCAGACAGCAAGGCACAAUAAAUGGAGGAAAUCAUCUAGCAUGACUAAGCAGAAACAGCAGCAUUCACAUUAAACUUGCUUACCUGAAGGAUUCUGUAUACAAUCCUCAGUUAUUUUAAUAUCAACUUGCAACCUAGUCACCGAUGAGUUAGAAAAGCACAAACAGAAAACACAGCCUCACCCCACUCACCACCAAAGCAAAGAAAACAAAAAACAACAAAGGAGAAUUUACUAUCACUUGUACUAAACUGACAGAAUCAAUACCUACUCUUAUGAAUUCAUUACUCAGUAUUUUAAAAUGUUAUUAAUGUUAAGUGAAGGUAAUCGGGACUUGUUUAACUGUGUUAUAUCCCACACUGCUUUCCUACAUGACAUAGCAAGUUGUAUUACGCAGUGUAAUUGCCCUCUUCAACAGCCAAGACAUGCUUUUGUAUUUACGAUGCAGUUCUGGCAGCUGAUUUUGCAAAGACACGCACAUGUGCUGUAAGUGCUCCCUCUGGCUACUGCAGAGCUGCUCUGUGACUGCAGAUUAACUAUGUAGACUUCUUCCCCUAGGAAUCAGUUCCUGCGUUCGUGGAACACGAGCCCUUAAGAAAGUUAAUUUUCAUGAACUGCAGUGCCACAUAGAAGUAACUUUCCUUUACUGACCUCUGUACAUGAAGGUUUAAAACCUAACCUCCGAAACUCCCAUCUCUGAAGAAAAUUAGUAGUUAGAAUUAUCAGCAAAAGGCAGUUUGUCUGCGGUGGUAGAUAGAGGAGCGGUAUCUCCGAAGAAAGAAGAGCUACAAAUUUUCAAAUAAUGAAAUUUCAUUUAUAAUAAAAUGCUCCACUUCUGUAUCAUUACAUAUGCUCUUCCUCCUGGAGCUGUAAUAAUCUCUUUUCAGGCACUAAAUUCAAUUGGAUUAAAGAAAGGUACAACAAGAUUAAAUUUUAGCCUAGUGAAGAUAAGCUCUCUUUCCCCUGCUCACCCCCAUCUCUUCUUUUUUUUUUCAGUGGGCUGAAGAGCAGGAAUUUUGUUCGUUCUUGGUUGGAAAAAGCCUCAAAUAAAAGAACCGUGAUUUACAGCAGAAAUUAAAUAAAACAAUUUUAUGCCUGCUGACAGCUCUGCUCUGACAGCCUCGUAUUUACCAGAUUCAUAUCAGCUAUUACUUGAGCCUUAGCCAAAGUCCACAAGGAUUCCUGCAGAUGAAGUGCACAGAAGGUUUGACUUAAACUUCAGCUUCUGGAAAACUGCUAUUUAUUAUUUUUUUGCCCGACAAAGUUCCAACAGUUUUCUAAGCGCAGGUUUGAUAAACAGAAGAAAAUAUUUUGCUGAGAAUAAGGGGGAGAAAGGCUUAAUGCAUUGUAUUGGUUAGGAUGGCUACUUAGAUCAUUCCUCUUCUACCAGACACCACCUAUUUACUGCCAUGCAUGACUACUGAAUUACCAGUACCUGGGGCAGACAGGAGUUCACAUCCACAUGCAAUAAACCAGGAGGAAUUCAAAGCCUAAAAACCUUUGCUGCAACAGUUCCAACUACAGAGUUCACAGGAAACACAACCAGACACACCUCCAAACUGCUGCAGCCAAGUUGUCAUCUUUCCCAUUCAAUAUGCUGCUGUUAUUUCUUUUACUAGAUAAAUAUGUUUUAGUAACUUCACUAGUUACCAUUAUUCCCUUAUCCUUUUCUCUUCUCCUCCCUAAUCCCACAACACAUCACAAGACUUCUUUGCUACCUCUCUCCUGGAAAACAGAUAAAACGUACACGGUCUCUACAACUAUUAUGGUUUAUUAGGAAGAUAAAAGUAAGUCUUUCUGAUACCUCAUUUAUUUCUUUUGCAUCUUAUUAGAGUGCUUUUCAUGUCUAUUUUUUUGCUACUUUGGAUUAUUCUCAUUACAAAAUAGAUACAUGGUGUUAGACACAGGCGAGGUCGUUAGAGGCUGUUUUGGACACCUAAAAAGUGAAAGAAUUUAAAUGUUUGUUUUCCACUUUUUUCUUAAAGCAAAUCUGAAGACUUAUGAUUAAGAUGUCUGUUUUUAACGGAAGGCAAACUCAACGUUCUAAUCUUUAUCCUACAUUAGUUUAUCUAAAUAAAUCUAAGAUCUCUGUUCAACCUCAAUGUUGUAUUUUACGUAUUAACGUCAAGUGGCAGAUAGUAGCUUUUUUGUGAUAAAGAGAAUACUUAAAGUCUUAAGAUUCUUAAGGGAUAUUUUCAACAGACCAUCAUACAGUAAUAUUUCAUUUUACCCCUUCUAAACUCAUCUUGAAUCUUGACAGAUCCCAGAAGCAUGAACCAUGGCUGGUGUUAAAAUUCUUUUCUUCCGAUACGCUCUGUAUUUUGAUUGCUGUAACUGAUACAUCAUGUUUCCAGACUGGCAAAAAAUACUGCUCUUUUAUCAACUUUUCCUACGUUCACUGCUUUCAAGUGCAAGUAAAGCAUCAGGCGAAACAUCCUGAAGCAUCACAUUAAAGCAUCAAUAUCAGACUGAAUGAAUGUCCCUCUUUCUCUCUUCUAACUUCCAAAAGUUCUUAGGAAGGUAUUAUUAUUCCUACCAAAUAGUAAUUCAAAUUUACUUUACACCUGAAAAUUCAAAUUAGCAUCUUAAAACAUGGUACAAUUUUUAUCUAUAUUCUCUACAGAAUUACUGGAUGAUUUGGUUUGGGUUUAUGAAUAAUGCAGCAUGCCAAAUUUUCUGCAUGUAAUAGCUCAGAUUUCUGCAUGAUGAUUUCACAAUAAUGUAAGGAAGCUAAAUAGAACGCAUCAGCAGUUAUAUUUGUUUCUGCAAAUACUGUCUUUUAAGUGACACAGCACAGCUCUUCCAGUUAUCCAAGUAAUCUUCUGAGGGCAGCCCUAAUAAAGGGAAAAAUGGUAGUGCAUGUCUUUCACCUUAUUCCUCAGAGUCACAAUCCCACUGCAAAACAAUGCUUUAUAGCAAAGAGUCCAAAGCUGUAUCAAGUAACAUUUCACUUCCUUCCUUCCCAGAGACUACAAAAUAUUUUUUACAUUCUGUGUUGAAACUGCUGUAUAAGCAAUUGCUCUGGCCAUCUCUUACAGAAAGGCAUUGGGCUCUAACAGAUUUGCAAUUAUUUACAAAUAAUUGACAUACAAACUUCCCUCAUAACUGCCUGCAGGUCCUACAAAAUAAAUCUAUGAUUAAAAAUCUUAGGUGCGUCAUCAUUAGACCUUUAAGAAGCACUCUUCUACAGGCUUUCAGGCAACAUAAAUCCAAUGCAUUCACAACUGAUAGUACCGAUCCCUUUUUGCUCUCUUCCUCUGAGGAAGAAAAAAUAAGGGGAAAAAAAAUGGGGAAUUCCAUGAUAUCUGAGUAAGUAUUAAUGCCCUGUUAUUAAAAUCAAGUAGAUCCAGCUUUCACUCAGUGCCCAACUGGCUAUUACGAUUCACAUAAGCAUUCAGUCUAUAACUCAAAACAGCAUAACCACUUGGUUUGCUUAUAUACUGUUAAAAUUACUGUAUAUUCUAUUGUAUAUUAUUGUAUAUUCUAUUCUACAGCUCGGUAAUAUACAUAGUAGCAUAAAAUGCACUACAGUAUAUUCUCUGUGAAUUUUUUUACUGAGAAAAGCUCUAGAGAAAGUUGAAAUUGAACUUGGUCAUCAUUUUAUCACUGUAUCUUUCAAACAGUCAUGGAGCUUGCAGACACUUAAUAAACUGCAGAAAUGCACGUCCCAUAUAGAGUCAGCAAAAUGGGUAGUGUAAACAAACAUAAAUGCAGCAGUCUAUCAACAUGAAGUAAUAUGGUCUUAAGCAGGCAUUAAAACUUGAUGCUGAAGUCACAACUCACACUGGCAGUUUAACAGGGCUUUAGGCUGUGUUAGCAGCCACAGCCAAGAACACAAACUGUUUGCCAGACAGGAAAAUGUGUUUCACUAUACUGAAUGUUAGAAGUAAUCUCCUCAGGUGUGGUACCUAGCUCAGCCUCUAUGCUAUUUUCACAGUCAGAGAAAAAAAAAUAUUUCAAGAACUAUAACCAUUUCUGACCUGCCUUCUUUGGCCUUAAAGAAAACCCCUGCACCAAUCUAUCAUGGUCCAUGACAGGGAAGGUGAAAGAGGUCAGUGAAUUACAGUUUCUUCAAUUCCUCAAUGUGAGCAGAACACACCCAACUCAGGUGUCAGCAACAUUGGCAAGUGAGAUACAAAAUAAGUAGAAUGCAAACUUCUACAGACUUCUAUUAAAGAGAAAAAUGUAAGAAGCAGUAGGGGAAGACUGAGAAGUUGUUUCUUAGCUCAAACACAGUACUACGCUAAAGCAAUGAUAUGCUUCAAGUUUAAUUCCACCUUGCAAAAAUCAAGAUAGUGAUUGGCACUGAAUACAUGAAGAAAACUAAGUGUCUUAAAAAAAGGUAAUGUAUAAAACAUUAUAAAACCUAAACUAUAGCAUCCAGUAUUAUAAUAUACAAUAGCACAAAAUCCCCUCUGUUAGAAAGCAGACACUUAAAGAGAUUAGUCUUAUGCUUUUCUCUUGAAUGAGUGAAUAGAGAACUUUCUGGUAAUGUACAUGGGAGACAAAAAAAGUGAAGCACUAUUAGUUUCCAGAAAAACAAAACCAAGUAACCAACAAAUCCAACCAAUGAAUCAACCAACCAACCAACCAACAACAACAACAAAAACACACACAAAGAAAACCACCCAACUCAAUCUAUUAGCUUUAUUUCCCCCAGAGGAUCAGUACCACACCACAGUAGUUAACUCUAGGUCCUAUAGCCUAAGAAGAUACAGCAAUAGUAACAGGUAUUACCUGAGGUAGGUUAUCAGUAGGCACAACACGGUAAUGUAGUAAUGCUCAUUCAGCAGCACCACACUAUGAACAAAAAAUUCCACACACUCUACAAUGCUGCUGAUUUUUCUUAACUUUAUUAGACUUUGUCAUUGAGAAAGAAAUCCAUGCUAAAGUAAGCUUUGUUGAUUGGUUUUCCAGUUGGCUAGAAACAUUGCUUGUGUUAGUUAUUUAACUUCAUGGUUCAGCAUGCAAUAUCAAAUGAAAACUGUGUUCUGAUCCUCA